GAACGCUGGCGGUAGGCCUAACACAUGCAAGUCGAACGGCAGCACAGUAAGAGCUUGCUCUUACGGGUGGCGAGUGGCGGACGGGUGAGGAAUACAUCGGAAUCUACUUUUUCGUGGGGGAUAACGUAGGGAAACUUACGCUAAUACCGCAUACGACCUACGGGUGAAAGCAGGGGAUCUUCGGACCUUGCGCGAUUGAAUGAGCCGAUGUCGGAUUAGCUAGUUGGCGGGGUAAAGGCCCACCAAGGCGACGAUCCGUAGCUGGUCUGAGAGGAUGAUCAGCCACACUGGAACUGAGACACGGUCCAGACUCCUACGGGAGGCAGCAGUGGGGAAUAUUGGACAAUGGGCGCAAGCCUGAUCCAGCCAUACCGCGUGGGUGAAGAAGGCCUUCGGGUUGUAAAGCCCUUUUGUUGGGAAAGAAAAGCAGCAGGUUAAUACCCCGCUGUCCUGACGGUACCCAAAGAAUAAGCACCGGCUAACUUCGUG
rnacentral:rRNA from 1 species